CUCCUGAUAGGUCCCCUUGACCAAGGCAGAGCGGCGGCGACUCGAUCUUCCACAAAUCGUUGCUUGACUGGGGCAGAGAGCACGGAGGGCGCGCGUGAGCCAGACACGGCGACUCGCUGGGCUCCGCCGGUUGCGGCCCGGGUUCGGCGGCUCCCUCUUCGCGACUGCGCUGGGGCGCAAAGUUUAGUCGGCGCCGCGCAGGGGGAGCUGCGUGCGCCUGCCUCUGCCUCCCAGUCUUCGGGGCUGGAACCGGCGAGAGGGCGCUUGCCGGCCGGCAGAGCUCGGCUGCAGGACGCAGCCCCCGCCCUCAGCCGGCGCCCGGAGUCGACCCGAGCAGGAGUGGCGCAGCGCCACUCCGGCUGCGCUGGCCUCAGGCGCCAGGAGGCGGGACCGUCUAGCCCCCCGCCCCCAACCUGGGACCUCCAACCUCUCCACGCUCCGAGCCCUAAGACCCUCAGCCCUGACGCGCCUCACCUUACCCGAAAACGCGCGGCGGCAGGAGGGUGCUUCCGUGCGCGCGGGUGCCUCGCGGAGCCGGCGGGAGAGUGCGCGCCCCGGUGCGCUACAUGCCCCCCGGGUCCUGCGCGUGGAGAGCCUCGGAGAUCCGGCCGCCCCGAGCCCUUCCCGGCUGCGAGCGAGAGACGCGGAGGCCCACGGAGGGCGCGGGAGCGCGGGCAGACCUCGGCGCGGGACGGAGCUGCGGUGGGCUGCUACGCUCGGCCGCCGCCGCGUCCCCGCGCCUCGGCUGCACUCUCUGGCAGCCUCCUGGCUGGACACGUGGGUUUUACGACAGCACAAAAUACAAGUGUGUGUGUGUGUGUGUGUGUGUGUGAGAGAGAGAGAGAGAGAGAGAGAGAGAGAGAGAGAGAGAGAGAGAGAGAGAGGCAGGCGGGGGCGCCAGGGGCCAGCCCCGAAGAACCAAGGGGAGGGGAGAGGGAAGAGGAAGUUCUAACUCGGCUGGACCCACACACCGCCCGCGCGCCUCUCCCGCACAAACACCUCCUCCACCCUCUCAUCCUCCGCUUGGGGCUGACGGCCCCCGCUCGCCCGCGGUCUCUUUCUGUCCAUGAUGUGUCUCUCCUAGGUGCCGGCUGUGCGCCCCGGUCCUGCAAGCGGUGGACUCGCGGAAACCCGGACGCCUCUCCGCACACGCGCAGGGGCACGCGCCCGCCGCGGGCCGAGCCCCGCCAGGUCCCGGGACCCGCUGUGCGCUGCUGCCCGGGGCUGCGUUUCCUGGAGCGCUGCUUCGAGUGCCAGAGGCGCCUCGUCCGCCACGGCACCUCUCACAGAAUCCUCGGGGGAGAAAAGUCGGGGCGCGGCGGGCGGUGGCGCACUGGAGUGGAGCCCCGGGUCUCCCGCCGGGGAGGCAGGCUUGGCGGAGCGCGGAGGCGUUGUCCCCGAAGGGGCUGCUCCUAG
rnacentral:lncRNA from 1 species